AUACGAAAGGUGCAAGCGUUGUUCGGAUUUACUGGGCGUAAAGAGAGUGUAGGUGGUUUAUUAAGUCGGAUGUGAAAUCCCGGGGCUCAACCUCGGAACUGCAUUCGAUACUGAUAGGCUAGAGUUUGGGAGGGGUAAGCGGAAUUCCGUGUGUAGCAGUGAAAUGCGUAGAUAUACGGAGGAACACCUGAGGCGAAGGCGGCUUACUGGACCACUACUGACACUGAGACUCGAAAGCGUGGGUAGCAAACAGGAUUAGAUACCCCAGUAGUCC
rnacentral:rRNA from 1 species